GGGUCGAUGCCCGAGUGGUUAAUGGGGGCGGACUGUAAAUCCGCUGGCUACGCCUACGUUGGUUCAAAUCCAACUCGGCCCACCA
rnacentral:tRNA from 1 species